GUGGGUAGAGCUCAGUGGUAGAGCACAUGCUUAGCUUGCACAAGGUCCUGGGUUCAAUUCCCAGUACCGCCA
rnacentral:tRNA from 1 species